rnacentral:rRNA from 1 species
UGGGGGAUAUUGCACAAUGGGGGAAACCCUGAUGCAGCGACGCCGCGUGGGUGAAGAAGCGCCUCGGCGCGUAAAGCCCUGUCAGCAGGGAAGAAAAUGACGGUACCUGACUAAGAAGCCCCGGCUAACUACGUGCC